AGAACGAACGCUGGUAGCGUGGAUUAGGCAUGCAAGUCGAACGGGAUCAGCUGGUUAGCAAUAAUCGGCUGCGAGAGUGGCGGAUUGGGAGGAACACGUGAGCAACCUGCCUUUGAGUCGGGGAAAACCGUUGGAAACGACGGCUAAUACCGGAUGUGGCGCCCGGAGACAUCUUCGGAGCGCUAAAGGGGGCCGCAAGGCUCUCGCUCGUAGAGGGGCUCGCGCACCAUCAGCUUGUUGGCGGGGUAACGGCCCACCAAGGCCUACGGUUAGCUGGUCUGAGAGGAUGACCAGCCCCACUGGGACUAAGAUACUGCCCAGACUCCUACGGGAGGCUGCAGUCGAGGAUCAUUUGCAAUGGGCGAAAGCCUGACAAUGCGACGCUGCGUGGAAGGAUGAAGGCCUUCGGGUUGUAAACUCCUGUCAUGGGGGAACAGGCGAGGGGACCCAACACGUCCCUUAGUUGAGUGUACCCCAAGAGGAAGCGACGGCUAACUCUGUGCCAGCAGCAGC
rnacentral:rRNA from 1 species